CCUACGGGUGGCAGCAGUGGGGAAUAUUGGGCAAUGGGCGCAAGCCUGACCCAGCAACGCCGCGUGCAGGAAGACGGCUCUAUGAGUUGUAAACUGCUUUUGUACGGGGGUAAACUCCGCUACGCGUAUCUUUCUGAAAGUAUCGUACGAAUAAGGAUCGGCUAACUCCGUGCCAGCAGCCGCGGUAAUACGGAGGAUUCAAGCGUUAUCCGGAUUUAUUGGGUUUAAAGGGUGCGUAGGCGGUCGGAUAAGUUAGAGGUGAAAUCCCGAGGCUCAAAUUCGGAAUUGCCUCUGAUACUGUUAGGCUAGAGAGUAGUUGCGGUAGGCGGAAUGUAUGGUGUAGCGGUGAAAUGCUUAGAGAUCAGACAGAACACCGAUUGCGAAGGCAGCUUACCAAGCUAAAUCUGACGUUGAGGCACGAAAGCGUGGGGAGCAAACAGGAUUAGAUACCCUUGUAGUC
rnacentral:rRNA from 1 species